AGUUGGCUUUGUCCUAGGACCAUUAGAAUUGCCCUGCCUUCUUUUUAGUCCAUCGUUAUAUGUACAGAUAAUUUAUCUGGCAAAUUAUGAGACACAGGAGCAGAUAUUUUCCAUUGAAUUUCCCUGAUGAGUAUGAGGUUAAACAAACAAGAGAAGAUGAAGGAGGAAAAGAAGAAGAUGGAGGAGGACAAAGUUUUCAGAAGUGCUUAUUAGAGCUAUUACAUGCCAAAUAUCUACUCUGUGGGAAAAGCAAAUUUCACAUUUUUAUCAACUCUGUAUUCACACAUCUGAUCAAGAGAUGUUAGACGCCAGUUCUUGAGAAUGGCAGGACCACCUUGUGGACAUAACCUGGGUCGGUGAAUGACUGCACGGAGCAGAGUCCUACCUGUCAAGACGUCAGAUUAUGAUGUGAAU
rnacentral:lncRNA from 1 species